AGGGAGAGCGCAGGAUCCUCGGCUGUGUCCCCUGGCGCCUUGUGCUCCGGUGCCUAUGCCGCUGGAAUCGCGCUCCUGGGACGCGCAGCCCCCU
rnacentral:pre_miRNA from 1 species